GACGAACGCUGGCGGCGUGCCUAAUACAUGCAAGUCGAACGCAGUGGGGACGGGUGAGUAACACGUGGGUAACCUCCCAUCAGAGGGGAUAACACUUGGAAACAGGUGCUAAACCGAUACUGAUGGAUGGACCCGCGGUGCAUUAGCUAGUGGGUGAGGUAACGGCUCACCAAGGCCACGAUGCAUAGCCGGCCUGGGAGGGUGAUCGGCAACACUGGGACGGAGACACGGCCCAGCCUCCUAGGGGGGGCAGCAGUGGGGAAUUUCCGGCAAUGGACGAAAGUCGGAACGAGCAACUCCGCGGGAGUGAAGAAGGUUUUCGGAUCGUAAACCUCUUUUGUUAGAGAAGCGGUAUCUAACCAGAAAGCCACGGCUAACUACGUGCCAGCAGCCGCGGUAAUAC
rnacentral:rRNA from 1 species